rnacentral:lncRNA from 1 species
UAUGAGAGAGAAAAUGAGAAGUUGUAUUUUUGUGGGUUUAUAGAAGAUCAGAGGAGGAUGGGAGAGAUUCAAAAGGAGAGCUCAAAUUAUAGUUACUCUAUUGCAGAAAAGAAGUCAGAUGUAAUCUUUUCAUUUUUAGUGAAUCUUAUUUUACUCGCAUAUUUUCUGUUUGGUUGUUUCAUCUCUUUUCUGCUGAGAAGACAGGUUUAUGAUAAAAAUUCGAUUUGACGUUACUGUUACAAAAUCCCAACAGUCGGUAUCGGAGUGGGUUGCAAGUUCUCAAAAUCCGGUACUAGGGCAAGUACCGCAUUUCCC